UACGGGGGGAGCAAGCGUUGUUCGGAUUUACUGGGCGUAAAGAGCGCGCAGGCGGUCGUUCAAGUCGCGUGUGAAAGCCCCCGGCUCAACUGGGGAGGGUCACGCGAUACUGAUCGACUGGAAGGCAGGAGAGGGUAGUGGAAUUCCCGGUGUAGUGGUGAAAUGCGUUAGAAUAUCGGGGAGGAACACCAGUGGCGAAGGCGACUACCUGGCCUGUUCUUGACGCUGAGGCGCGAAAGCUAGGGGAGCAAACGGG
rnacentral:rRNA from 1 species